GGUUAAGCGACUAAGCGUACACGGUGGAUGCCCUGGCAGUCAGAGGCGAUGAAGGACGUGCUAAUCUGCGAUAAGCGUCGGUAAGGUGAUAUGAACCGUUAUAACCGGCGAUUUCCGAAUGGGGAAACCCAGUGUGAUUCGUCACACUAUCAUUAACUGAAUCCAUAGGUUAAUGAGGCGAACCGGGGGAACUGAAACAUCUAAGUACCCCGAGGAAAAGAAAUCAACCGAGAUUCCCCCAGUAGCGGCGAGCGAACGGGGAGGAGCCCAGAGCCUGAAUCAGUGUGUGUGUUAGUGGAAGCGUCUGGAAAGGCGCGCGAUACAGGGUGACAGCCCCGUACACAAAAAUGCACAUGCUGUGAGCUCGAUGAGUAGGGCGGGACACGUGGUAUCCUGUCUGAAUAUGGGGGGACCAUCCUCCAAGGCUAAAUACUCCUGACUGACCGAUAGUGAACCAGUACCGUGAGGGAAAGGCGAAAAGAACCCCGGCGAGGGGAGUGAAAAAGAACCUGAAACCGUGUACGUACAAGCAGUGGGAGCACGCUUAGGCGUGUGACUGCGUACCUUUUGUAUAAUGGGUCAGCGACUUAUAUUCUGUAGCAAGGUUAACCGAAUAGGGGAGCCGAAGGGAAACCGAGUCUUAACUGGGCGUUAAGUUGCAGGGUAUAGACCCGAAACCCGGUGAUCUAGCCAUGGGCAGGUUGAAGGUUGGGUAACACUAACUGGAGGACCGAACCGACUAAUGUUGAAAAAUUAGCGGAUGACUUGUGGCUGGGGGUGAAAGGCCAAUCAAACCGGGAGAUAGCUGGUUCUCCCCGAAAGCUAUUUAGGUAGCGCCUCGUGAAUUCAUCUCCGGGGGUAGAGCACUGUUUCGGCAAGGGGGUCAUCCCGACUUACCAACCCGAUGCAAACUGCGAAUACCGGAGAAUGUUAUCACGGGAGACACACGGCGGGUGCUAACGUCCGUCGUGAAGAGGGAAACAACCCAGACCGCCAGCUAAGGUCCCAAAGUCAUGGUUAAGUGGGAAACGAUGUGGGAAGGCCCAGACAGCCAGGAUGUUGGCUUAGAAGCAGCCAUCAUUUAAAGAAAGCGUAAUAGCUCACUGGUCGAGUCGGCCUGCGCGGAAGAUGUAACGGGGCUAAACCAUGCACCGAAGCUGCGGCAGCGACGCUUAUGCGUUGUUGGGUAGGGGAGCGUUCUGUAAGCCUGUGAAGGUGUGCUGUGAGGCAUGCUGGAGGUAUCAGAAGUGCGAAUGCUGACAUAAGUAACGAUAAAGCGGGUGAAAAGCCCGCUCGCCGGAAGACCAAGGGUUCCUGUCCAACGUUAAUCGGGGCAGGGUGAGUCGACCCCUAAGGCGAGGCCGAAAGGCGUAGUCGAUGGGAAACAGGUUAAUAUUCCUGUACUUGGUGUUACUGCGAAGGGGGGACGGAGAAGGCUAUGUUGGCCGGGCGACGGUUGUCCCGGUUUAAGCGUGUAGGCUGGUUUUCCAGGCAAAUCCGGAAAAUCAAGGCUGAGGCGUGAUGACGAGGCACUACGGUGCUGAAGCAACAAAUGCCCUGCUUCCAGGAAAAGCCUCUAAGCAUCAGGUAACAUCAAAUCGUACCCCAAACCGACACAGGUGGUCAGGUAGAGAAUACCAAGGCGCUUGAGAGAACUCGGGUGAAGGAACUAGGCAAAAUGGUGCCGUAACUUCGGGAGAAGGCACGCUGAUAUGUAGGUGAAGUCCCUCGCGGAUGGAGCUGAAAUCAGUCGAAGAUACCAGCUGGCUGCAACUGUUUAUUAAAAACACAGCACUGUGCAAACACGAAAGUGGACGUAUACGGUGUGACGCCUGCCCGGUGCCGGAAGGUUAAUUGAUGGGGUCAGCGCAAGCGAAGCUCUUGAUCGAAGCCCCGGUAAACGGCGGCCGUAACUAUAACGGUCCUAAGGUAGCGAAAUUCCUUGUCGGGUAAGUUCCGACCUGCACGAAUGGCGUAAUGAUGGCCAGGCUGUCUCCACCCGAGACUCAGUGAAAUUGAACUCGCUGUGAAGAUGCAGUGUACCCGCGGCAAGACGGAAAGACCCCGUGAACCUUUACUAUAGCUUGACACUGAACAUUGAGCCUUGAUGUGUAGGAUAGGUGGGAGGCUUUGAAGUGUGGACGCCAGUCUGCAUGGAGCCGACCUUGAAAUACCACCCUUUAAUGUUUGAUGUUCUAACGUUGACCCGUAAUCCGGGUUGCGGACAGUGUCUGGUGGGUAGUUUGACUGGGGCGGUCUCCUCCUAAAGAGUAACGGAGGAGCACGAAGGUUGGCUAAUCCUGGUCGGACAUCAGGAGGUUAGUGCAAUGGCAUAAGCCAGCUUGACUGCGAGCGUGACGGCGCGAGCAGGUGCGAAAGCAGGUCAUAGUGAUCCGGUGGUUCUGAAUGGAAGGGCCAUCGCUCAACGGAUAAAAGGUACUCCGGGGAUAACAGGCUGAUACCGCCCAAGAGUUCAUAUCGACGGCGGUGUUUGGCACCUCGAUGUCGGCUCAUCACAUCCUGGGGCUGAAGUAGGUCCCAAGGGUAUGGCUGUUCGCCAUUUAAAGUGGUACGCGAGCUGGGUUUAGAACGUCGUGAGACAGUUCGGUCCCUAUCUGCCGUGGGCGCUGGAGAACUGAGGGGGGCUGCUCCUAGUACGAGAGGACCGGAGUGGACGCAUCACUGGUGUUCGGGUUGUCAUGCCAAUGGCACUGCCCGGUAGCUAAAUGCGGAAGAGAUAAGUGCUGAAAGCAUCUAAGCACGAAACUUGCCCCGAGAUGAGUUCUCCCUGACUCCUUGAGAGUCCUGAAGGAACGUUGAAGACGACGACGUUGAUAGGCCGGGUGUGUAAGCGCAGCGAUGCGUUGAGCUAACCGGUACUAAUGAACCGUGAGGCUUAACCUU
rnacentral:rRNA from 1 species